UACGAAGGGGGCUAGCGUUGUUCGGAAUUACUGGGCGUAAAGCGUACGUAGGCGGAUUGUUAAGUGAGGGGUGAAAUCCCGAGGCUCAACCUCGGAACUGCCCUUCAUACUGGCAAUCUUGAGUCCGGGAGAGGUGAGUGGAACUCCUAGUGUAGAGGUGAAAUUCGUAGAUAUUAGGAAGAACACCAGUGGCGAAGGCGGCUCACUGGCCCGGAACUGACGCUGAGGUACGAAAGCGUGGGGAGCAAACAGG
rnacentral:rRNA from 1 species